rnacentral:rRNA from 1 species
CAGCAGCCGCGGUAAUACGUAGGUGGCAAGCGUUGUCCGGAAUNAUUGGGCGUAAAGCGCGCGCAGGCGGAUCAGUCAGUCUGUCUUAAAAGUUCGGGGCNUAACCCCGUGAUGGGAUGGAAACNGCUGAUCUAGAGUAUCGGAGAGGAAAGUGGAAUUCCUAGUGUAGCGGUGAAAUGCGUAGAUAUUAGGAAGAACACCAGUGGCGAAGGCGACUUUCUGGACGAAAACUGACGCUGAGGCGCGAAAGCCAGGGGAGCGAACGGGAUUAGAUACCCCGGUAGUCCUGGCCGUUAACGAUGGGUACUAGGUGUAGGAGGUAUCGACCCCUUUCUGUGCCGGAGUUAACGCAAUAAGUACCCCGCCUGGGGAGU